rnacentral:tmRNA from 1 species
GGGAUCGUAAAGGUUUCGACGGGGGCUGUGAACCUCGCUAAGCAUGCAGAGUUCGCCUAAACUCUUUAAUAAUGGGCAAUUUUAAAAUUAAACGCAGAUAAUAGAUCUGAACUUGUAGCUGCCUAACCGCAGCUGCCGUCCACCCCGAGAACACUGCGGCUUGGGCUUGGGCGUCGAUCAGCAGUGAACUUUAUCGGUGAGAGCCUUGCAGCUGAUUAGGAAUUAAAGGGCUACCGAGUAUUGAUCCUGUUUAUCGGAGCAAUACAAGGGAAAUUCAGUAGAUAAACUAAGCAUGUAGAAGGGCGAGUGGAUUGGCUUUCGGACGCGAGUUCGACUCUCGCCGGUUCCACCA